UACGUAGGGGGGCAAGCGUUGUCCGGAUUUAUUGGGCGUAAAGAGCGUGUAGGCGGCCAGGUAGGUCAGCUGUGAAAACUCGAGGCUCAACCUCGAGACGUCGGUUGAAACCAUCUGGCUAGAGUCCGGAAGAGGAGAAUGGAAUUCCUGGUGUAGCGGUGAAAUGCGCAGAUAUCAGGAAGAACACCCGUGGCGAAGGCGGUUCUCUGGGACGGUACUGACGCUGAGACGCGAAAGCGUGGGGAGCGAACAGG
rnacentral:rRNA from 1 species